UGAAAAAAAUGGACUUGGUGGGUCUUUGAAUUUAAAUAAAAUAAACAUGUAUAUGCAACACAAAAUAUUUAUAUUCCUUGUGUAAACAUAAUUUAAUUGAUUAGGAUGAAAAUGUUUUGUUUGAAUGUAAAAUGAACACAUUAUUCUCACAUUGAUUAAAAUUGAUUGAAUUGAAUACUUAAAGCAAUAAAAUUGAGUUUGCACACAAAAUGGCACCUCCUGAGCAGAAGGUGGCAGUAACGCUCAAUAAAAAGGACGUCAAUCGCCAUAAAAGAAGAAUAAACAUCGUUUGUUUUGGGCGCCAAAAUGAAGACUCAGCAGCAGUCAGUCAGAAGAACUCUCUCAGACGGACACCACGUUAUUAAAGUCCAUCAUCCUUGCACACACUCAAAAGCAUUGAUAAAUGCUGAAUUUAAAAGAAUCACUACUGUCUUAUGUUCCUGUGUCACCUGGACCUCCAAUCCAAAAACCUGACGAAACUCUUCUAUCAGAAAGGAGGACAGCUAGCAAAAAGACUUAGAACAAUCAAUGAUCAAAUGACAGAAGGCAUGGAUGAAGUCAGCAUCAGCGAGGUCAUUUGAAGACACCACUGUUGGGAUUUGUGCUCUCAAACAACAUCCUUCUUGUGAUGAAGAAGAGGAUCUUUGUAUAGUCCUGGAAGGCAUGAAGGUGUUGCAACAUCGUGCCAUG